GUUCGAGAUGAAUAUAGCCUGAUUUCUCUGAAUGCCGUGGAGCAAGCUUUCAGAAGCAGGAAAAUACGCAGCUGUGUUUUCUUAUACCAGGAACCUAAAAAUAAAAACCGACUCCAGGACUGCAUGCUAGGUGUGUGAUCGACAAAGACGGAGGUUUCCAGAUCCUGUCCCUUCUGCCUGCUGCACUGCUGGCUGCCAGUUUCUCUUGGUGGUGGCUCUGAGAGCCAGGACAGGCAGAAUCUAGAGUCCUAGUACCUCAACUGCUUAACAGGUGAAUACAGAAAGGUGCAGCCCUGCCCACUGGAUUUAGGGUUUUCUGCUAUGUUCACUGAUAUGUGCACCAGAGGAGAGAAAUGUUGAAGUCAACCUCUCAUCACCAUUUUAUGCAAGCCAGGACAGAACCCAAGGAGAUGUACUGCACUCCAGGAUGAAGGGUUCCAUUUAGUCAGAGGAAGAGUGGCUCAAUAAUAAGUGUCAUUAGAUCCUGGAGGCAGUUUUGGAAGCAGUCUCAUUCUUCUGAGUGCUUGUCCUCAGGUCCAGCCCACGUUUGAAAUUCCAGCUGCACUUCCCAGGUCUGUCAGGACCAUUCGAACCAUUCCCAGGAACAAAGAGAAAACAGGCUGUGCCCCAGCAUGCAAACUUUCAACCAUGUUUAACAAGGUGCCAGAAAAAGCAAGCAGUCUCACCGUGGAUUCCCAAGACCCUGGUCUUGUUAAAAACAGUUUAUGGUUUGCACAAAAGAGGUCUGUCUUAAUUUGCUUCUUUCCUAUAAAUAAAAUAGGGUGCAUUUAGUAUUCCUAGGAGACUGGUACAUUGGCCAAGUUCAUGAUGCCUGUGGAUUUAACAAAAAUGUGUUCAUUUUUUGCCAAACGAGGGCACCCAGCCUGAAACUCUAAAGACAUGCGGAAUGAGAAGUCCUACUCCCCAUUAAAUGGUAUAUUCUAUAACUAUUGGCAUAUAAUCUGUUGUCUGCUUUCUUUCCUUUCCUAUUUUUCUUCUUUGCCACUUUUAAUGAAACUUAUUAAGUAAAUUUGAAAUUUACAAAUUCA